GAAAACUUUACCUUCCUGUGUUGUCGUAGCUCACCAGGAAAUUCCUUGUUUUGUCUUCUUUAACCCCGCCUUCGCUUGAUCUGGACUGGUUCCUCUGUCAAAACUCCAGCCCUGUCCUCAACAACGCCAGGAUCUUGUUACCUGCUGCCUCCUGGACACUGGCUCACCAAAAUUGGACGAUAAAAGAUUGGAAAAGGUUUUCCUGGUCUGAGUCUCAAUUUCUACUGGAGCAUUCAGAUCGAUUGCAGAGGUCAAAAUUUAGGUGUACCCAUCUUCUGAUGGCUGCUUCCAGCAGGAUUUACUGCAUUGAAAAUGCUUCCACAGUCACCAGAACUCAGUCCAGUAAAGCACCUUUGGAAUGUGGUGAAAUAGAAGGUUCAAAUCAUGGAUAUGCAGCGGAUAAAUCUGCAGCAACUACAUUAAGCUAUCCUGUCAUUAUGGAUUAAAAUCUGUGAAUGUUUCCAGCCACUUUUUGAAUCUCAGUCACGAAGACAGCAGUUCUGAAUCAAAAGGGGCUCUGACUCAGUAUUAGCAAGGUGUACUAAUAAAGUGUGUUGUGAGUGUAUAUGCUCUAAUCUAAAUAUUCAGCACAAUAUCCACUGCAGAUUAACAAUAGCGCUCACAAUAACAAUCAACAAAUGGGGUGAAUUUAGGGAACAUAAGGUUGAAAAGGACACUAAUACUAGGUUUGGUUUUCUUGUCUGAUGAUUGAUAAUGGAACAUUUUUGUUAAGCCCAAGCUGUGGAGUCACUAUAAUGUUCUCAUCGGUGUGACAUGACAUGUUGUAGUGGUUAAGGAGAGAGAGACUGAGGAAAAUGACACAAGCUAGUUUUAAUCAGAUAUAUUACAUAAGUGAGUAACGUGAAUAUGAUGAAACCAGUAAAGCUAUUUUAUCAUCAUUUCUAUUUUAGGAACGUGAUAUUAGAUCAUCCAAACCAAGUAAUUAUCACCCAUGCUAAUAUUGCUAGUGCUAGUAUUCUCUAGACUCUAUAUCAGUGGGUCAACAUAAGUGCAGACGCUGGAUCAAAUGACAAAAAUGUUCAUGGACUGGUUGAAUGUUGUGAGAUGAGAUAUUCUAACCCGCUUUUCAGGAUUCAUGCUAGCUACAGCCAUACUGGACCAAUGUGACUUAUAAUAAAAUAAUAACACUUGCUGGUGUAGUGAAUAACACAUUUGCUAAAAAUCCCCAGGGGGUCACAAGCUAGCGUCUGGGCCAAGAAAGCAGCCAAAAGUACCUUCUCUCAUUUAUCAAAUAAACAAUACACAGGCAAAAUACGGGACAAUGGACCAUGUUGAUGUGACCCACAGCAUCUUAAAAGGAACACCAAACAAUCACUAAAACAACAACAAUGAGAAUUUAAUUCAAUUUCUAGCGCAUAUCAGAAAAUCUGUAAGAAGAAGCCUUCUUUUAUUAUUCAUUAAUUUUAAUUAUUUAUUUAUUUAUUUUUUAGUAAUGUACCAUGCCCAUUGCAACUUCAAUUAUUAGCAUGUUGAUCGGCCAUUUCUCAGGUGGUUUUAUAAGGUAAUAAUCUAUCCCCUAUUCUGGGUUACAGUAGGGUACAAAUGAUAACAGUGGGUCUUUCUAAAGUGAGGAUGGAAGCCAUGACAUGACAAAUACCUAGUCACACGUCUAUUGGUAAGAGCGUUGUUUUGAUAGUAAAGAAAUGAAAAUUGAGUUCAAAUUCCUAAUGAUAACAACAUGAUGACUUGAACUAUUAUGAGCAAAAAACUCUAUAAACUAAGUAUGAAUAGAACUGUACAAAAAAGUACUUAACCUAGUCUAAGCCAAUGAUAAAUAAAAAAGUUUGUCCAAAAAGUAAGUCCAAAAAGUUUUUGGCUUAGGUUACAUUUUCAGAAUAUGAUAUGAUCAUAUCCUUUUGAGACCCAGUCUAUUCAUUAUGUCCUCUGUAGUGGACAAAAGAGUUAAACCGAAAGAUUUCCUCAGUUCUCAGGAGGACAUGAUAUGACCUUUCCACAUCAAAUAGAUGAGGGUAAUUCCAUCUCAGUUCGUCAGGUUUAAUAAAAAAUUUCCCUCCUCACAGCUUGUCAAAAUAUUGAAAAACAAAGGAAAAAAUACAUUUAUUAUGAAUUGCAAAAUAAAAUAAACAAAAAGAAAUAGGAAAAAAAUGUAAGUUUUCCUUGAUUUAUUAAUGUGGAAUCUCAGGAGUGUAGCUAAAGUUAAUGUAGCAUGAUGGAUGGAAGUCCCUAAGAUAUUUGGAUGUUUGGUCUUUGACAGCAGAUUUGGAUGCCUGUAGAAAUCAUAAUUUAGUAUGUGAGGGAAUGAUAUUUCAUAGACAAUUUAUGUAUGGCAGCCAAAGAUUAUAACAAAUUAUUAUAUUUCUAAAACUCCCAGAUUUUAAGAUAAAAGACCUAAAUUUUAACCAAUGAUUUUUGUUUACUAGGCAAGAAGGCUCUGAUACUAAGGCUCCAAAUAUUAAUUCUAACAAUAUUUAAAGUAUUUCCAAUAUAUAAUUUUUAAUCAAUAAUAAUUUGUGCUCGGUCAUUAAAUUUAUUUAUUUUUUUAAGGGAAACUAUAGUCGGUACACAAACGACUUUUUUUCCCUGUGAAGAAAUCAUCAAUUGAAUGCAAUCGUCAGGUGUCAUUAAAAUUCACUUGACUUCUUUCAAAUGAGUCAUCGUCCUUAAUACAUUUAUUUUUUUUGUUUUGUAUUGUAAUAGCAGGACAUUAACAGGCUGUCCAAAUCACCCUUAAUUAACCCCAAAUUCUUAUUUAUGGUUUAUAUAAAUAUUUACUUUUAGUGCUGUUUAGGAACGCAGUGAAAAUGAAUUUUAAAUUUUCAUAGCUGACAGUGUUUCAUGCAGUAAAACCAAACCACUCUGACAGCAGCUGAAGUAUUAGUCUAGUGUAAAAGUAUUACAAUGCUAGUAUUGGAAAUUACUUUAAAACUAUGAUUAGGCAACCUUUGUAUUCCUCUUUUCUACUAUAGAGAUGAAUAAUAUAAUAAUGUUUUCUACAAACGGGUCUUGCAGCUUGAUAUGUUUUCCUCUGAGCUCUAUCUUUAUCCAAUUUUGUUUUUUACAAAGCCACCAGUGAACUACAGAAUUACACUGAUGGGUUCUAUGGUAUCGUGGGCAUUGAUUAAUUUUGCCAUACAAUUAAAAUAACACAAAAAUGG